rnacentral:rRNA from 1 species
UCCAGAGGUCCCAAGCGUUGUUCGGAAUUAUUGGGCGUAAAGAGCUCGUAGGCGGUUUGUCGCGUCUGGUGUGAAAAUCCAGGGCUUAACCCUGGACCUGCAUCGGGUACGGGCAGACUAGAGUGCGGUAGGGGAGAUCGGAAUUCCUGGUGUAGCGGUGAAAUGCGCAGAUAUCAGGAGGAACACCGGUGGCGAAGGCGGAUCUCUGGGCCGUAACUGACGCUGAGGAGCGAAAGCAUGGGGAGCGAACAGG